UUUAAUCAUUCGCUUAAUCUCCCCACAAGGGAGAGCGGGGGAACCAAGCAGCGAUUCCUUGCAGUCCCGGAUGACAGGAUAUUCCGGAGCGGACUGGAUGGACGAACUGACCUUUUCCAGGGGUGAAUUUUGCCAAAAGGCCUUGAGCAGGCCGAGUAGGCGAAUAGGGCAGCUCUCUUGUCCGAACCCGUCAGCUAACCUCGUAAGCGCAUAUAAGAGAGAUC
rnacentral:sRNA from 3 species